CCAACAUCUGCAGUCAUCAAGAGAAGAACAACGAACCUAUCUACUACAGGCGGCGUUCAAUCUGGAUUAUGGGGUCUCUGCAGUUCGUGAUUUCACAGCAUCGAAGAUGGGUUUAAUUUUGGGAUUCUAAAUACAGCUGAAGGUGUUAUAAGACAUCGUCGAUGGAGUGAUGGGGGAGUGGAACUGUGAAGAAGAAAGAUGAUGUUGUAUUGGAAAUGAAGAGGAAGAAGGAGGUGAAAAUAUUCUUGAAGCAGUUGAUUUGAAAUCAGCAAUAGAAAUUGAUGGUUCUGGUGUGGAAGCUAAAGCUGUGUUGAAGACGCAGCAAGCUUACAGAGGUUACAGGACUUACGUUAGAUGAUUCUGCUGUUCUUGAUGAAGAAUACUGGUGGCAAGUAAUUGAUUUUGCUAGAUUGAAUCACAGUACAAUUUCUUUCUUUAAUAUCCCUGAAACACCUAUCUCCAGGUGGAAUUGAGUUGCUUUGAAUGUAUCCAAGGUUAGACAUAGUUUGCAUUUGUACUAUGAAGAGUGGUCUAAUGGAGAUGCAGGACAUUCAUUCUUCUAUUGGACAAAUUUUUUAGUUGUGGAAAACAUCUAAUUGAUUGAAAGAGAGGCUCACACUUGCAAAUGCUUGCAUAGCAAUAUGUACAAGAAAGGAGAAAUCCCAGCACUCCCAGACAUCGCUGCUGCUCAAAAACUUAUCUCAGGCUGACAGGCUCCAAAUGAGAAGGCUACAGGUCCGAAUGAGAAGAAGAGAUCAAAGUGUCCAGUUUAUAUAGUUUUCUCAAUUUCAAUACAUGUAAGAACCAGUGGAGUACGGUUGUUUCAUUGGAGGACUUUCAUGGUCAACAUCUUACAGAGGUCUUAAAAGUGCUUUCAAAUAGUUUGGUAAUCUUGUGGAAGCCAAGGAUUACAUGGCAUAAGAGCAAAUUACAGAAAGGACUUCUCAAACAUAGAUCUAACGAAACAACAAAUAGCAGUCGCUGCUUACCUUAUUGAUAUGUUGGUAAUGUGGAACAAGGUAAAAGAAAGCAAUACUAGAUUGCUAUAAGCAAGAAGAGAAGAGAAUUCUAGCAAGAAGAGAAAGAUAAGUUUUGUGUUUAAUAAUUUGAUUGAGUAAUAGAUAGCUCUUAUAAGACUUAAUCUAGCCUUUAUAUAGGCUUGAAGAAUAACUAAACUAGGAAACAGAAAA